UGUGAGAGCACAAAGAGAAGCAGAAGCGAUGUGUGCGACACGACAGGGCCUAGACCGCGGGAGGAUCCAUCUUCUAUUUUACCCUACUAAGUUACUGCGCCGUACUCUGUAGUACUAGUACUUACUCAUAGAGUAUGUACUAAGUUACUGCGCCGUACUCUGUAGUACUAGUACUUACUCAUAGAUCGUCCAUUGAUUUGUUUGGUCGACGCCCGGCUUCUGAGAUUAGCUGAACUCAAAGAUUAAUUAAAUUAUCUGAUCGAGAAGCUCGAUCCGACCUGUGAUCAGACCUAAGUUUGUUUUUCCUCCCAUCCUCAUAUCCUUCUUCGGGCCUAGUCGUCUUCGCCACCUAGGCAAGUCUAGCCAGCCACAACCCGGAUGCGGCAGGACAGGAAAGUAUUGAUUCAUCAGAUAUCUCGAGAGCAUGGACAGACUCUAUACGGAGUACUACGAGGACUCUCUGUCGGCGUCUCAUGACAAGAAAAUGCGUUCCUGCACAAUGCCGGAAUUGGCUACUACCAUGCCGAUACUCCCGGAGGUGCACCCAGCCUGCAUGCACAUACUAUCUAUGUACAUUACAGACGUACUCCCGAGAUAUCUACCCAAGUCGCAUCCCCUACCUACCCACCUACCAAAUCGAGUACUCCACUUUUCAUCUUCCAACUUCCAAGGCCCAUCAUGAAUCAUGAUUUUAUCCCUGCAAACUGCUUCACGACAUGCCGAUCGGUACGGAGUACGGAGGACUAGAGCAAUACAUAUGCUGAUGUGGAAGCGUUUCUCCUUUUAAAAAAUUGAUCGAUUUCAACUCGGAUCUCAACUUAGAUACACACAUACAAAGACGAUCGGUAGAUAGACAAAUACUAGCACCCCCCAAGAUCCAUCCGAUCGAAGCGUGCCCGUUGCCAGGCUUCCUGGGCAGGAAGAAAUUCUGUCCGGCGAUUUUCGUCGCUGUCGGUCGUCGUACGCGUACGACGUGACCUGCCAAACCCUAAAUGUAGUUAGUUACCUAAAUUGGGCCGAGAUUGAUCAAUCCUCCGUUUAUCCGAGUCGUUGUUCAUCCAUCAUCCAUCAUCCAGUCAUCAAAAAAAAAAAAAAAAAAAAAAAAAAAAAAAAAAGAAGGAUAAAUUCAAGACUAAGGUCCUUUUUAUUCUAGAUGAGUCAUAGAACAUUUGAUGGUCACACUUCUUUAACUGUCUGAAAGGAUCAUCGAGUUAUCCAUGUUGUCAGCAUACCUAUUGGAAAUAACUAUGGCAAUAUAGAAAUGUAUGCACCCUCUAUGUAAGAACCUCCGCGGAGAUAAGAUACCUAGUGUACCCAGCUGGCCCAAGCCAAUACCCGAGAUCCGGCAUGAACCUGUCAUUGUUGACCAACCUUUGAAUUAAUUCAUGGGGUUUCGUCCAGAAUUAAUUCGAUAGAAAAACUUAGUUCGGACUACCAUAGUAGAUAUCUACACAGUAUCAAUAUUACUGGAGGCCGGCCUCUUCCUUCCUAUUCUGUAAAAUGAUAAAAUGGAAUCUAUCUACUCAUGGUAUAAACUAGAGACACUGGCCUGGCCAAACCCAGCCCUUACUCGUCAAUAUACCUCGUCAAACCCUCAAUCGCUCUCGCAGCAGCCGCAUUUUGAUCCUGGAUCCGCCUGAAAAACGCCAUCGACGGCUUUAGGUUUUUUGUAUAUACGUUGCCGCGAUGUCGGUAGUUAUCGUCUGAGAAUUGAGCCCCGAUGACUAGCGUUGCGGCAGCGGAGAAGAGGGUUGAUGCCGUUGCCCCAGACGCACGUUCCUAUAUGAGCUGGUGUCAUAUCGGAUAGAAGAGGGGAAAGGCCUCACCCUGGACGAUGCCCGCAUGAACACAUCACUGAGUCAGUCCACCAAUGACGCGAUUGCGUGUGCAGACGCAAGACAAGAUUGCCUGUGACUUUGCCACGGAUAAAUGAGAUGACCCCACCCAUCGAUACUGAAGCUCUCGAUCGGGUAGUAGUUAGAAUAGGACCGACAGAAUGCACGUCUCGUCGUCGUCUUCGUGGUCCAGCAGUUGCGCGAUACGAUUCGCUAACUUAGCGCCUCGUUGCUGCGACUUACUAAUCCUUCGAGUCAUUUGGAAUAUUGCUCAUUAUUAUUAUCAAGAGGAUUCUGUUGUGGGCGCGUCAACUCUGCCUUGAACCGAUAUCGUACUUGAGCCAGGCCUAUCAUGGCACGAUGAUACUGCACUGGCCUGGGGCAAGGCUUCAGCCUCAUCCGGGCCUUCACGCAGAUACGGAUCCAGCAAUUCUUCAUCCGUCAGAUUUAAUGGCAACGGCACAUCAAAAUCGGUCUCGUAGAUCAAGAGUGCCCGAGUCCGGUCUUUGAAGCCAUUCACAGAUCACCAUGGUCCACCACAUGCGACGGCUGACUUCUUGGAGGAUGGGGUCCGCGGAAACUGCAGUAGGAACAGCACGGGUUGUGAAUCAACGGACCAGGGUCGGCUUUUCUGGUUGUCGCAUCUCAGGCAAGGACUUGUACCCGGGGGGCCAACUGAUACCUAAUGGAAGAUUGGCCAGCUUGACUUUUGAAAAAGGACGUAGAACCUUUGGCACCAGGAAUAAGAAUAGGGCGUGUGUUGUCUCAGGAAAGGGUGUAGAACGGGGAGGGACUACCCGAUGGUAAAUUUGCAAGUUAGACUUCCUGCUCAUUCGUGAACAUCAUAAGACUCCUCUGUAAACCAUCUUAGUUCAUUCGCUUUUAUUAAAAGGGGGAGACAUACUGCCAACGGCUCCGAGUCUUCCAACACUUGCUGCUGGCCACAAAUCAUUUA
rnacentral:lncRNA from 1 species